UACAGAGGCCUCGAGCGUUAGGCGGAAUCACUGGGCUUAAAGCGUGUGUAGGCGGACGCCUAAGUGUCUUGUGAAAUCCCACGGCUCAACCGUGGAACUGCCUCGGAUACUGACGGCCUCGAGGGAGGUAGGGGCGUGCGGAACUGUGGGUGGAGCGGUGAAAUGCGUUGAUAUCCACAGGAACUCCGGUGGCGAAGGCGGCACGCUGGACAUCUUCUGACGCUGAGGCGCGAAAGCCAGGGGAGCAAACGGG
rnacentral:rRNA from 1 species